rnacentral:lncRNA from 1 species
UUGCAGAGAAGCUUCCUCACAUACAAUCACUUUGUAUUCAUGAGAUGGUUACUCGAGCGUUCAAGCAUGUACUUAAAGGAGUCAUCGCAUCUGUUGACUAUUUAUCAGACCUAUCUGCAGCUAUAGCUUCUUCCCUAAAUUUAUUAUUUGGCUGUUGUGAGAUGGAAGAUGACCAAAGCUUGAAUGAAGAUCAUAUCCUCAGAUUGCAGUGACUACGAACAUUUCUUGGCAGAAGAUUUGGUUGGUCCCUGAAAGAUGAGUUUCAGCAUUUGAGAAAGAUUUCAAUUCUACGUGGGCUUUGCCAUAUAAGGUACUGUCUUUUCGGUUCCUUUGGCAGCCGAUUAUUUUCAAAGCUUGAAUUUUGCUUGUAAACUUCACCCAGGUUGGGUUGGUGUUGGUUCCCAGAGAAUAUGAUAUGGAAUGCCCAAACCCAUUCACGAGAGAUGAUAUUGUCAGCAUGGUUCCUGUGUGCAAGGUGAGACUAUUUUCUCUCUUAAUUGUGUUUUGAUUUAGUUUUUACAUUCUCAAUGAGUCACUCAUUUGUAAAUUGAAUGUAAUUGUGCUAUUUUUAUGGCAUUCUACAGCAUGUAGGUUGCACUUCAGCCGAUGGAUGGACCUUAUUAGAGUCAUCCAAAAUUGCCCUUGAUAAAGGAAAACUAGAAGAUGCUGUAAAUUAUGGGACAAAGGUAAUAACCCACUCGAUCUAUACGUAAGAAUUACAUUAUUCUUUUCAUAAUAAGGCAUCUCUUGAUCUCAUAUGAUGUAUUACUUGCAUUGUAAGGCACUGGCAAGGAUGAUAGCUGUUUGUGGUCCCUACCAUCGGACUACUGCAAGUGCUUACAGUCUUCUAGCUGUAGUUCCCUACCAUACUGGAGACUUUAAUCAGGUAUGACAAUCUUCAGUUGUAUUUCAGUGUUAACUUGGUGAUUCCAAGUCUAGUAUAAUUAUAACGUCCUUCUGUACGGAGGUUCUCAUUCAUCGGGACAUUUGAUUUGAAUUUUUGUGUGUUAUGGUUAGUUUUUAUGGUCUUGUAUAAAGAUAUGCAUUAGGAAUUAUAAUUUUCUGGACUUAGGAAUUACAUGUACAGGCAUUAGCAUAAUUUUGAUAUCAGAUUAUAUAUUUUAACUAAAUCAAACACGUUCAUGAUUCUUAUGUUCCGGCAUUUCGUCUAAUGGCAUCUGCGUCUGAGUGUUAGAGUAGUGUUCGUAUGUAUUCAAGAUAUCUUCUUCUUCAUUUUAGGCAACUAUAUAUCAGCAGAAGGCAUUGGAUAUUAAUGAGAGGGAACUUGGUCUUGACCACCCAGAUACAAUGAAAAGCUACGGGGAUCUUUCAAUUUUCUAUUAUCGCCUUCAAAACAUUGAAUUGGCUCUUAAGUGAGUAGCACUACUUGAUUUACCGGAGCAACUUUGUUUUCAUUCUUUAACUGAUUAAGGUUUAUUUAUUCAUAAAUUAAAUUGGAAGUUUCGAAAAAUGUGACCUUUGUAUUGAAUCUGCUUUGAACUAAUGCAGUUUUUAUCUACCUACUUUAGCUUUUAUUUGUCUUUUAUUGGCUCUAGCUCCUGGUCAUACCAUACUAUUGGCAGAUAUGUAAAUCGUGCCUUAUUCCUUUUGCAUUUUACUUGUGGACUUUCACAUCCAAACACUGCUGCAACAUACAUAAAUGUGGCUAUGAUGGAAGAGGGCAUGGGAAAUGUUCAUCUUUCUCUUAGAUAUUUGCAUGAGGCCCUUAAAUGCAACCAAAGACUAUUAGGAGGUGACCAUAUACAGGUUUUUCUCUCUCUAUUUACGCAUGUAUACACACUCUUUAGACUUAUAAAUCUUUCUGUAAACUCAGCAUUUUGUUUGAUUUCUUCACGUGACAGACAGCUGCAAGUUAUCAUGCCAUAGCCAUAGCUCUUUCUUUGAUGGAGGCAUAUUCACUAAGUGUGCAACAUGAGCAAACUACACUUAAGAUUCUCCAAGCAAAGCUUGGACUAGAAGAUCUGCGUACUCAGGUGACUACAUGUAGUCAUAUUUUAAUUGGUUCUGUUGUGCAAUUUGGCUAGUUGGCUUCUCUCUUGUCAAUCUUUUACAGGUGAUAUUAUGAUAUAAAACAUAUUGUAUCGGCGGCCUAUUUUGGUGUUAAGUAUGGAUAUGACCCAUUCAUUAAUCGUAUCGAAAUAUCAAAAUACGGAUAUGACCCGUUUAUUAAUCGUGUUGACUUGUUUAAUAUUAAAUACAAACAAAUUAAAAAUUAAUUUAAAAAUAACAAAUGUGUCAAAAAAAUAAGUUAAAAUGACAUAAGUAUGACAUGAAUAAGUUUAUAACAUAAUAUGAGUAUGACAUGAGUCAUUAAUUUAGUGAUUAGUAUAUAUUUUAGUUUUUUUUUCCAAUAAUAUUAACACAUAAUAAUUGAUAUUUAUGCUAUAAACGUAUAAUCAUAUUGAGAUGGUCCAAAACAGAUACGACAUGGUUAUUUAUCGUGUCGUGUCAACUCAUUUAUUAAUCGUGUCAAUAUUUGUUAACACAAAUAUGGGUCAUAUGUCGUAUUAUGUUGUGUAAUCGUGUCGUAAUCCAUUUUGCUACCUCUAAUCUUAACUGUCAUGAGAGAAUUUCUCAAGUUCCAUAUUAUUGAUGGGAAGAGAUUUUUGUUAUUUUGUUGUAUUUUGUUUUUUGUUUUACAGGAUGCUGCUGCAUGGCUGGAGUAUUUUGAAUCAAGAGCUCUAGAGCAGCAAGAAGCGGCACGGAAUGGAACUCCAAAGCCAGAUGUGUCCAUUGCGAGUAAAGGUCACCUUAGGUAUUAACAGGGUAUUCCCACAUUACUUGUUUCUAAAUUGUUGAUUAUUUCUGGUGGCACCAAGACCUAUAAUGAUCGCUUUUCGCAGUGUAUCAGAUCUCCUGGAUUACAUAAGUCCUGGUCAAGAUUCUAAAAGAAGCGAAGCACAUAGGAAACAACGACGUGCAAAGGUAGUACAUACUUAGUGCCUGUUUAGUAUGACUUAUCUAAUGGUCUUAAAUUUUUAUUUAAUCCUAUAAGCUCUUAUCAAAAUUUUUUUUGUUGUUUAAUUGUUUUUUUAGUAGAGCUCUUGAAAAUUAAAUAAACUAUUUUGCCUCUACUACAAAAACCUCAAAUUUUGUGCUUUUGAGAAUAGAGGUUAAUUUUUUUUUUAAAUGUUAAAAUAUCUAAAAUAUUCUCUAUUUAUAUGACAAUCUUAUUUUAUUCUUUUCAAAACAUAACUUUAAAAAAUUUGCUUAUUAAAGUAAUUUUAUAAUUUUUAAUAAAAGCUCUUAUUGACAACCAAACAACACAAUUUUUUUGAGUAAAAACUUUACUAGCAGAACUCUACUCAAAUAAGAUCUAUUUGAAAAGCUUUGUGAAAUGAAGCAUUAAGCAUGCUGCUGUUCUCUGUUCCUUUUUUCUUGUGAUGUCCAUCUGAAUGGAUUCUUAAACUAAUUGUAGAUAGGAUUUGGUAUUUUAGAGUACACUCUGCUGGCAUAUAGUUUUGGAUUUGCUGAUUACACGAGUAAACUUGUUGUCCAUGCAAAAUGCACCUAACUAUUGCUGGAUAAUAGUUCUACUUUUCUGAGUGAACUCUGAAGGCACCAAAUAUAAACAUCCAUUUCUAGCAUAGAAUCACACUCCCCCCACCCCCCCACCCCCCAACAACAAAAAGAAAUCUAACAUGCUUGUAUAGAUCACAGACAUGAUUGAAACUUUAGAAGGUUCUGAUCUAUUGAUGGCCAUAGAUUGGGCCAGCUGAUAGUUGGUAGGCAAUGAUGGAGGGUUGCUUGGUCAAGCUGCUAGUUCUUUAGAAAUUCAGAUAUGAUGAGCAGAACGAGUGAUAGUUUUUGUUUUACCCCGUAACCUUGAACAGAGUGAGAAGAAACCAUUAAUUUGAAGUGCAAUGGAUGGAUAUGACAGAUCUAUCAUUUUGGCUAGGAGAUGGAGUUCUUCCAUUCUACUGUUAUUUAAUGGUUGUUAUUAUUGAUUCUAGAAAAACAUUUUUCGAUUUGGCAGUUGGAGUUUUUCCCUUUUUUUUUUUCCCCCAUUUUGUAGGCCUUAGAGAACCAAAUAAUACUACAUAUUAGAAAGACAGGAUUAUUAUGUGCUAAUUUGAAGUAUUACCUGGUUGACAAUUUAAGACAAUAGUAAAGUAUUUCGCUGUGAUUAUUUUUUUUGAAAAUUCCAUGAUUCAAAAGGCUGAAGAAUUUCAUUAGUUUAACAUAAUAUAUGCUUGCAGAACCUGCUGUACCUUCGGCUGCUGCUAGAGUUCCUUGUGGGCCAAGGUCGCCUCUCUAUUAGAGAAAUAAUUAUUCUUACAUGAUGAAACAUGGAUUUCCAAAAUACCACUCUUCCAUUAUGGAAAGAAACCUGUCGGGGCCUUCAAGAAUCAUGAACCCGCAUGCACCCGAGUUUGUGCCAAUGAGAGGUUGGCAAAUAAAUCCUGGAAGUGCAGAUUCAAAUGCUUCAAAUGAGUCGAACUCUUCAAAUGACACAAGUGAGGCAGAAGAUGAGAAGCUUGACAAAAUGUCCAGUAUUCAAGGCGAAGAUAAUACCUCAAGAAAGAGCAGUACAGAGGCCGAGAAGUCAGAGCUGGCAAGACAGAUACUACUUAGCUUCAUUGUAAAGUCAGUCCAGCAUAAUAUGGAUGCUCCAAGUCAAUCUUCAGGCUAUGAAAAGGAGAUUGGGUAUUCAGAAAAUUCUUCAGAUGCAAUUGCAAAUGAUAGUGCUAUCAUAAAGAUCGUUUAUGGAAAUGAAAAGGGCAAAACAAACUUGGCAUCUCAGUCUAAUGAUCAAGAACAGCAAAAACCCAAAGAUGCAAACCAAAAAAGUGGGGAUGGUGAAGGAUUUAUAGUUGUCAGAAAACGGAGAAGAAACCGACAGCAGAUCACAAAUGGGGUAACUGAGAUGUACAAUCAUCAAUCCAUCUGUGCUUCUGUUCGUUAAAAGAGAGAGCAAAGCAAUAAAAUGCAAAGGUGCCGUCCUAUUUCUCCCAAUUUUAUUCGAAAAAUUUGUUAGUGAAUGUUACCGUUGUAGAAAUAGUUAAAAUUUGGAGCAAGUUUUAAUCAAUACCUGAUUGUAUCAUUUUAGAUAUCCUUUCUGGAUGUUCUAAUAUAAUAUUUGUACAAAUCGGUUUCUUGUUUUGUUAAGAGAUUUUGUUUUGAUCAAUAAAUGAUAAAUUAAUUGGGCGAUUUUCCUCAUCAAGAGAUCUGUGAUGUUAUUCUAUAAUGGGUUUUAAUGUUUUAGACUGAGAUUUGUUGUUAAUUAUGCCUCAAAUUAUUUGGUAUUUGGUUGGUGCGUGUGAACAAUACAUUCGGAAUGGAGUUGAAUUGACCCACUGAUAGCUUAAAUUUGCAGUUGAAGUUGCUGCACUGAUGAUACUACAACUAACGUAGUAGUUGGCAAAAUUCCUUAUUAAAUUUAAAUUUGCAACCAACAGAAACUGAAGAAGAAGCCGUAAUGCAACCAAUUAAACGAAAUUGGGAACAUGAGUGUAGUUUUGGAACCAGAUUGAGAAUUUGAACAAACACAUACAUGGAUACGUAGCUGUUUGGAGAAAAGCCAACGGAUACAUAAUACAUCACGAUAAGUUAUACACGGCAGAACCGUAUGUGCCAAUAGUAGCAUGUGUCAAUCACCGAUGGAAAACAUAUUUGAAAAGCCAAUAGUAGCAUGUGUCAAUACAUCUAUCAAUGAAAUAGAACCACAGUCUGCGCCAGUACGAGUUUAUCCAAAGUGCUGCAAAUAAGCCCAAAAUCACUGACACAUAGGAUGCUCCAAAACUCCAUCUUAAUGCCACCAUAUCAAUCACAGAAUCGCCUUCAUCUUCUCCUCCUCCUGUAGGUGUCGCUGGUGGUGCCAACGCACUGCUGCAUUUCCUCUUUAUCAUUGAGCCACAAAGAGCCGAAUUACCUUUAUAACUUCUGUCAUCAAAGGUGGCAAACUGUUCUUUGUCUGGGAUUGGGCCGGACAAAUUGUUGUAUGACACGUUGAAGUUUGAUAAAAAGUUGAGCUCAGUUAGUUGAGGAGGAAUUCGGCCACUUAAUUUGUUGCGGGAAAGGUCCAGGCUCUCUAUCAUGUUCAGAUUGGAGAAGCUCUCUGGUAUAGCACCUGAUAGUAAAUUAUUCGACAGAUUAAGUGCACGAAUAUGUUGAAGAUGCCCAAUUUCCCAUGGAAUUUCUCCAUUGAACUCAUUGCUCGACAAAUCCAGUCCAGCCAUGUCGACGAGACUGCGACCGAUGAAAAAUUCAUAUCUAUACUUUGUCACAAAUUCUACACCUACUGGUUGAUCUAGUCCACCAUGUAGUUCACCUGGCGGCAGCAGAUGAAGAGUGGAAUUGUAGUGAGUAGAAGCGGAAUCACGAUUAGACACACCAGGUCCGGAUCCAUAUGAAUUACCAUCAAUCGCUUCUCUCCAGAAUGACAGGUUACGCAAGCAUGAAGGUAUCGGCCCAUUAAGUCUGUUAUGUGAAAGAUCCAUGAUACCUAAUUUUCUUAAUUGGCACAACUGAUUAGGAAUACGUCCUUGUAGAUAAUUCCCUCUCAAAAGAAGAAAAUGCAAAUUCGAAAGCUCAUUGAUCUGAUGAGGAAUCCUACCAAAAAAUUUAUUGUCCCUCAAAUCGAGAGUCAAUAAUGUAGAGCUUCUAAGCAAUGCAAUUGGAAUUAACCCCUUAAUUGCAUUGUUAUGCAGAUAAAUGUGCUUCACUGAUGAAAGAUUGGAGAGAGAUACCAUGGACCCAGACAAACUAUUUUCGGAGAUGUCUAUAAACUCAAGACUUUCAAUAUUGCUGAGCUGGACCGGAAUACUACCUUGCAAAUAAUUUUCUGACAUUAAAAGAACCCAAAGGUGUGAGAAGUUGCCAAUCCAGUGGGGAAUAUCGCCGGAUAACUUGUUGUUGGAUACAUCUAAUACCUCCAGCAAAGUGGAGCUCAACAAACCAUCUGUCAUUUUCCCACUGAAAUUAUUGUUGUUCAAAAGUAAGGAACUCAAAUGAGUCAAGUUCAUAUAAUUGGGAAAAAGUUGGCCAUAGAAAUUGUUAUUUGAUAGGUGCAACUUAUCUAAGGAGAGGCAACUAGAGAAUAUAGACCGAGGUAAUUCUCCUGAAAAAUUAUUUUCAGACAAAUCCAAAGUAAUUAGCUCUUUUAUCUCACUCAUUGAAUAAGGAAUAUUACCUUCAAAACUAUUUUUUGACAUAUCCAAAUGUAUCAAUUUUUGAAAGACAAUACCCAAAUUCUCUGGUAGCUUACCAGAGAAAUUGUUAGUGGAAAUAUCUAGAUGACGAAGCUUAUCGUAUUUGGCAUUGGGAAGUCGCGGAAGAAUUCCUGAGAAUGAGUUAUUCCACAAAAUCAAAACUUCUAAUCUUGUGUUGUUUUGCAACAACCAAGUUGGGAAAUUGCCAACCAACUGAUUGUGAGAGAGAUCAAGGAAUUUUAAGUGGUGUUGGUGUAAAAGAAAACUAUUAUUGACAUUUAAGUGGCAGUAACAUAAUUGGAGAACCUUGAGAGGAUAUGUGGGGAGCCAGUUUUCGGUUUUCACUUGCAACAUAUCGUUUCCUGACGAGAGUAGCAAGACCUCAAGCUUUGAAUGAUUAGCCAAUGAAUUUAUUGAGAAUGUUCCUUGGAAAUCGAUGAAAGAGAGAUCCAAAUAUUCAAGUGAUGUGAGGUUGGUCAAGGCAGAAGGAAAGUUUCCACUUAACUGAUUGUAAGAAAUAUCAAGAACUUUGAGAUGGGUCAAAUUGUUGAGACACUGAGGAAGAUGACCCUCAAAAUUAUUUGACCUUAAAUCCAACUCAAGAAGAUUCUUCAAAUUACAUAUUCCUGAAAGUGAAAAUAAAAAGAUCAGAUUUCAUAAAACGAAAACUAAUUAUAGCGCAUUCAAUCAUAAACCCAAUAUAAGACUUAUAAAACGGACAUGAAAUCAAAUUGUCUAAGUAUUUUGGUCAACAUAAAUAAUAAUAGAAUGAUAUGAAUGUUUUUCUCAUAUAAUAUGAUGUUGAUUGCAAAAGCGUUUCAAUUAAUCUAACAAUAAAAUAAUAAUAAUAAUAAUAUAAAAGCAGUCAGCAAUUCUUGCUCAUCAUAAUCCAUUCAAAAAGUGUUUCAGCAAUUCUCGUUGUUUAAAAUAAUGAUUUUCUGUGGAAGAGUUUGUUGACUUCGUGUUUUUCGUUGGAUAUUGGUUUUCUAAUCUCUAAAUUUGUUGGAUAAUGUAAAGAGAAACUCAUAAUAUAUUAGUUGUUUUCAUAAACUUUAUUUAUUCUUCUCAUAGCAUUAAACAAAAGUAUUUGCCCAAGCGGGGAAAAAAAAACUGGUCUUCAUAUUUAAUUUCGUCGAAGUACUUCAUAUUUAAUAUUGGGUGCGUUGGCAUUGUUUUUAUAUGCCGUUUUUUAUUUUUUGAAUUUAGAAAAUAUUAUUAGAUACCUGUUCGGUAGAUUGUUUAUGAAAUUUUUUUAAAAAAUAGAAAAUUCAUUCUACACAUUUUAACAAAAGAAAUGAGAACCAACUUUUUCUUAUUUUCCUUAUUUCCUAAUACAAGAUUAAGUUCCAAAAUGAAGAAUUCUCUUUACCUCCUCUUGAAAUAAUGAUAAUAAUAUCAACAUUAUUAUUAUUAUUAUUAUUAUUAUUAUUAUUAUUAUUAUUAUCAUUAGGUCGAAUUAUCCCUGGGUGACACAUGUUUUAAUAAAUUUCAAAAAGAUGACACAUGUUUUGAAAACACUCGAGUGGGUGACAUUUCAUUAACUUUUGCUGUUAAUUUUAACUAGUCGAGGGUAGAAUUGGAAAAAUAAUUUUUUUUUUCAUAAAGCCAAAGAGAUGAAAAUAUUGAAUUUAUACAAUACUUUAUAAUUCAUAAGAUUUUUGCUUCUUUAUAUUCACAAAUCAGUUUGAUCAACAAGAAUUUUUUUUAAAAUUUAUUUGAUUUACAAAAAAAAAAACCUGUUAAUUAGACUUAUGUUUAAUUUUUUUAUAUUUUUCUAUUUAAAAAAUUAAAAAUGAGUGAGUAUGGGCAGAAACAUCAUUUUGUGGGGUAGAAACGUCAUUUAAUUUACUAUUCUCAUUAAAAAUUAAUGGCAAAAGUUAAUAAAAUGUCACUCGCUCGAAUAUUUUUAAAAAAUGUGUCAUCUUCUUAAAAUUUGUUAAAACAUAUGUCACCAAGAGAUUAUUAUUCUUAUUGUUGUUGUUGUUGUUGUUGUACCCAAAGAAUCAAUUUCCCUCACAAAAAUCUUUUCUUUUUAUAUACAUUAUAAUAUUUAUGUUUUUAUAUAUUAACUAAAUCAAAUAUGUAGGGUUUAUCAUUUUUCUUUGAACAAAAAAAUAGAAAGAUCACCUAAUUUAUUCUUAAAAUUAAAAUAAUCAAUACACAUUGCUUAAUCUUAAGUUUAUGGAAAUUAUUCCAAUAAUAAUUCUUUGAGAUAUUCUUACCAAACAUAUUUUUGUUUUUCUCAUUUUUGAGAUUAUUUUUGAAAAUGAUACUGAACACAUUUUUAAAUUUUAAAAAUAAAUUUAAAAAUAGCAUUUUCAUUUUUAUUUUGUAAAAACAACAAUUAGAAAACAAUAUUGGGCUCUUAUUUAUCAUGUUUCAACAUAAAAACACAGUGUAAAUUGUUUAAUAUGGGUUUCUAGAGAAUUUUUUACGUUACUAUUACUCAAAUUCAAUGCUUCCAAGCUUUUGAAUUUAGCUAAUCUUGCAUCAAGAAUUAAUGAACAUAAGAAAAAAAAAUUCAUUCAGAACUAUAAAUAUUGAAAUAAAGAUAAAUAUCAUUGUUGAUUUUUUUAUAAAAAUGAUUUAGAAUUAAGAGAGAGUGAAAGAAAUGAGCGGGUUAUGUCGGAAAUUGGUGAUAGAGUAUAUCAAGUACUAAACUUUGUAUAGAAAGCAGUGCUUCUAAUUUAAAUUUUAUCUAGUUUAAAGCAAUUAAAAAAAUGGAAAUAUAUUAUCAUCUUGAUUAACAUCUAAAACAAUUUUUGUCAUUGGAGGAAGAGAAUUGUUAUAUACCUUGAAUUGUAGUUAUCCCACAAGAACCAAGAUCCAAUGUUUUCAAGUUUGGCAAAUCUGCGAAUCCUACAUGCGCCGAUAAAAAAUGAAAAUAUUACAUUUAAAGGAAUUGUAUGUGAUCCGUGCAUUUGAUGAACAUUAAUUCUACAUUUAAUUUGCUUAUUAUCUCAGAUCCAGUGGCCUACCUAGCGUUGUCAGAUUUUGAUUACCGCUUAAAUCCAACACUUGCAGGUUUGUCAAAUUUGCUAAUCCUGUUUAAAAAAGGUAUAUUUUGUCAAUAAUAGUUAUGUCACUCUCGUCUAAAUUAUUUAAUAAAAAUAAUAUGGUAAAUAUUGAAUUAAAUUAACUGUGCACAUUGUUAUUUUUUUGUUUCUAUUGAUAUUUUAAUAUAUACCGUCACUUUUAGCAUUACCAAGAUUUGGAGUGUUUGAAUCAUAAUUUGUAAAUUAGUUUGCACUUUGAGUAAACUUGAAUAUGUAAAAAAAGCAAUUAAAAAAAUGGAAAUAUAUUAUCAUCUUGAUUAACAUCUAAAACAAUUUUUGUCAUUGGAGGAAGAGAAUUGUUAUAUACCUUGAAUUGUAGUUAUCCCACAAGAACCAAGAUCCAAUGUUUUCAAGUUUGGCAAAUCUGCGCAUCCUACAUGCGCCAAUAAAAAAUGAAAAUAUUACAUUUAAAGGAAUUGUAUGUGAUCCGUGCGUUUGAUGAACAUUAAUUCUACAUUUAAUUUGCUUCUUAUCUCAGAUUCAGUGGCUUACCUAGCGUUGUCAAAUUUUGAUUAUCGCUUAAAUCCAACACUUGCAGGUUUGUCAAAUUUGCUAAUCCUGUUAAAAAAAAACAUAAAUUUUGUCAAUAACAGUUAUGUCACUCUCGUCUAAAUUGUUUAAUUAAAAUAAUAUGGUAAAUAUUGAAUGAAAAUUAACUGUGCACAUUGUUUAAUUAAAAAAUUAUCUUCUAAAGAACCGUGUAUAUAAUAAUUAGAACUGAAAUCCAACGCUUCCAUGUUUUUUAAUUUAGCUAAUCUUGCGCCAAGAAAGAAGAAAAAUCUUAGUAAUCAUCUUUGGGAAAAAAAACAAAGAAUUAAGAAAUAAAUUUCAAAGUUAGAUUAAAUAAUUGUAGUAAUAAAGCUUAUGAUUAAGAUCUAAUUAAAUAGAUCAUAUACUCAAAAAUGAUUUUUUUUUUUUAAUUUUACUAAGAAAUUAGAAAGUAAUUUUUUGUCGUGUACCAAUUGUAGUCAAGUUUGUCAAGUUUUCCAGUCAAAAAUUGGUUUUAAUUUGACAUUAUACAUGUGUAAAAAUUAAGGGCAUAAUAAUAUCACAAGGAAUUUGGGUAGUGACUUGUUGCCGUGUACCUUGAAUUGUAGUUAUUCCACAACCCGCAAGAUACAAUUUUCUCAGGUUUGUCAAAUUUGUCAAUCCUACACCAAUGAAAAGUAAAAUAUUACUUUUAAAAUUAUUGUAGAAGGUUGAGAUUAUCUCAGUAGCCUACCUAGCCUUGUUAAAGAGGCACUAGUUAUAUUGAAGUUCAUGCUUAGAUCCAACACUUGCAAGUAUCUCAAAUUUGCUAAUCCUGCCCAGAAAACAUUAAUUUUGAUCAAGACAAUAUAAAUAUAUAUUUUAAUUAAGAAAUUAAUUAAGUUGCCUGACAUGUAUAUCUGCUGGCCUGAAACGUAUAUGUAUAUACCUUGCUUGGUUCUGGAACCUUCAAUGGAAUUGUCACUAAGAAUCAAAGUGGUAAGUGAGGUUAGUGUAUUCAAAUAUGGUAAUAUGCUGUCGUUGAAGGAACUAUCACCAAGAUCUAAGAUCUUCAGCUGCUUCAAACUCCCAAAGCUAUCGUAAGCUGCAAAUGCAUAUGAAGUGUUAUUAUUAAUUAGUCACUGACAAAAUAUUUGUGGACAAGAAAUAAAUGUAUACAUCUAUACGGACCUCUCUUCUCAUAGAUGCCUGUAAACCAAUUCUCAGAUAAGUCAAGACUUUGCAAUUCUUCAAAAGGAUGAAACGAUGACAUAUUCAAAAGCGAAGCCGACGUUCCAUCAUAAUAAUACGAUCUCCUUGUAUAAUUGAGUGAGAGUUGCAUCACGCGUCGUGUGGUGGCGCUGCACUUAACUCCCUCCCAAUCAUCACAACAAUCAGACGGCAUUCCAUCAUCCUCACCAACCCAUGAAGGAAGAAUUUUGUCGUCAUAUCCAAUAUCACUGACUGAUAUGAAGAAGCUCUUGAUUUCCAACAGAGCAGUCCUCUCUGUUUCCAAGCAUCCUUUGUAUCCAUGAAUUUCAUUCAUCAAUACAAUAAUCCAAAUUAGUGACAUUAAUGAGAACUUAAUACAGGAAGUACUUUCCAUUGCAGAGCAACUUUUCAUUUGGUUAAAAUUCAUUGUGCAAUGAGGGAAAAUCAAUAUUAAUUUAUACUAAAAGUUUAUAGUAGGCUUUGCAAUUUGAUUGGCUGAGGAUUACUCAACCGCUCUGUUCAAUAUCUUAAGUGGCCAAUUUCGUACGAACUUGGGACAGCUGUACGGGUCCAAUUUAAAUGACAACUACGUGGAAAAUAAAAAUUUUGCAUAUAUUAUUACAACUACGUGGAAAAUUAAAGUUGACUGACUUUCAAAUUAAGCCAACAAACAAGUGGCCAUCAAUUCUUUUUCCACUAACAAUUAGUGGCGACGGUCAAUACUAUAACAUAAAAGUUGACUAAGAAUUUAUGUAAUUUAAGAGUAUGAUUGGCCUUUUAUUGAAUUGUAUGAUUGGGUUUGCACUAAAUUAUCAAAAAAUUAUUCAAGGAUUUAUAUUCUAAAAUAUUUAGUGAGUUUAGAAAAUUAUUUUAUUAGAUUUUUGUUAAUUUUUUUAUUAUUUGAUGGCCAAUAAUUAAUCAAGUAAUUUUCCAUAUAUUUUUGAUAAUUUACUCAUAAAAGCGUGGACGACAUUCAAAUGACAUUUUAUAUGAUGUAUGAUAUAUGUAGAGGUGAAAUUUAAAUAGGCUUAAUUUUAUAAAUAAAUACAUAUGUAUUGCAGCAUUCAAUCAUUGUGUUAAAGCGCCAAUCACGGUGACCACCAAAACCUAUGAAUGAUUAGUCCAUCAAAACUCAAUGUAUGCUCAAUUAAUAUUUCCUAUCAAGAUCAAAUUUUUCGCUCUAUUGCUUCACCAAUCAUGAGCAUAAAAGCUCGAUUUAUACAAAAAUUGAGAAUUUAUGACAAAAAAAAGUCACAAUUAUUAUAAUAGGAAGUUUGAUUGAUUUUUAAAGAUUGAUUCAAUCAAUCUUAAUGUUAUGGACAAUCGAUCUUAAUAUUAAUUCAAAAUCAAUCUUUAUAACGAUUGGCACAGAUAAAGAUAAUUAGUUUUGGUCUCUAUAAUGACUGACGAAGACUUGUAGGAUCUAGACCAAUGAGGAAAAACGCUUCAUUAAUACUCCAUGGAAAAUAAAAUGUUGACUGACUCUCAAAUUGUCAAUUCUAUUUUUUACAAAAAUUGAUGGAGAUGGUCAACUAAUAAAAUAAAAGUUGAUUGAGAUAAUUUAAAGAAUUUAGGCAUAAGUUUGGGUUUUAAAUUAUCAAAUAAUUUAUUCCACUAUUGAUACUUAAAAAAGUGCUUUGGAAUUAAUAAUUCAAUAGGAUGUUUGAUAUAUUGGAAUUUGUGAAAAUCAAUAAUCAACUAUUUUUUAUACAUGUUUAGAAAUUUAUCCGGUGUGUAUAAGGGCUUGUAUAUUUCACAAUAAACUGAGAUUUUUUGUUUUGAAAGCCAAUGGAAACAUGAAUUAGUAUCCAUCGAUUGACGUAUAAUUAUAAUCAUAUAAUCAAAUGUUGGCGCCAUCUCGAGCUAAUUCUGUUAAGGCCUUCACUCCAUAGUCUUAAGAUCUCAGUGAACAAUAAAUUCUUCAGAUUCAUAUGGCAAAUGAAUUGCACAACAAGGCAGAAACCCCGCUUGAAAGCAACCGGCUAUAAUUAAUACAUAAAAAGUUCAAUUGCUCAUAAAAGAAAGAUACAGUAAACUAGUGGUAUUGUAGUAUAAACAAUACUGGUUUUUCUAUCUUGGUGGUUUCUUGAUAGUGUUCAAAUAUCAGUGCUCGAAGAAAGAUAAGAGGAAAGCCAAAGAAAAAUAAGCUAAUUCAUCAUUAACAUCAUAUGACAAUUACACGCGACUUUUGGAUGUUUUUAGCCACUGAAAUUUUUAACAUUAAUGAUAAUAGGACAGAGAGACUAAAAACAGAGGAUUUCAUUCGUCAUUUCAUAACUGAUAUUCCAAAAGUAUGGUCUAUUCUGAAAUUAAAAAAAUAAUUUUGUCAUUUUUCUUUGGUAAAUUAUUCGUAAAAGUAUGGUCUACUCUGAAAUUACAAAAAUAAACAUAAUAAAUUUGAAUAAAGGAAAGGAAAAUGAGAAGGAAAACAGAGGAAGGCUAAAGAUAAAUAAGUUGAUUCAUCAGUAACUCAAUAUGGCGAUUGCACACAACUUUUGGAUGUUUUUAGCCUCUGAAAUUUCAACAUGAAUGAUACAUUACAAAUAUGUGAAGCAAAAUUUAGAAACCAAUUUUUGCUUACAGAGAAAAUGUUAAAAAACAAAUAAUGAUAAAAGAGUGCAGAGAAACUAAAAACAGAGGAUUUCAUGGAUCAUAAUUUAUAAGUGAUAUUCCUAGUGCAAGGCUGAACAUAAAUCUCAGGUGUUAUUGAAAUUUACGUUACAUUUCACAAGGCAAUAUGAACAACAACCAGUACAUGCAUCAAUGAAAGAAAACCAUGGCCAGCACCAAUACAAGUUCAACCAAAGGAUUCAUCUUAAUUGCAGAUUCAUCUUCGUCUUCUCCUCGAUUGGAUGUUAUUGCUAGAUUUUCCUCUGUUCUGGUGCAACUCUUAUUAAUUGUUGGACCACAAAGACCGAGAUUAUAACUCUUUUCAUCAAACCUGCCAAAUUGUUUUUUGUCUGGGAUCAGACCAGACAAGUUCUUGUAUGACUCGUUAAAGUUGGAUAAAUAGUUGAUGAGUGAUCUGAAGAUCACUGAUAAGAAAUUUUGUCAUUUUUGUUUGGUAAAUUAUUCGUAAAAUUAUGGUCUACUCUGAAAUUACAAAAAUAAGCAUAAUAAAUUUGAAUAAAGGAAAGCAAAGGAAAUUGAGAAGGAAAACAGAGGAAGGCUAAAGAAAAAUAAGCUGAUUCAUCAGUAACUCAAGAUCACAACUUUUGGAUGUUUUUAGCCUCUGAAAUUUCAACAACUAUUCAAGUGAUGCGAGGUUGGUCAAGGUAGAAGGAAAGUUUCCACUUAAUUCAUUAUUAGAAAUAUCAAGAACUUUGAGAUUGGUCAAGUUGUUGAGACACUGAGGAAGGUGACCCUCAAAGUUAUUUGAGCUUAGAUCCAACUCAAAAAGAUUCUUCAAAUUACAUAGUCCUGAACUUGAAAAUAAAAGAUCAAAAUUUUAUAGAAUGAAAACUAAUUAUAGCAAAUUCGAUCAAAAUCCAGUACAAGACUUAAAAAACAGACAAAAAUCGAAUUGCCUAAUUAUUUUGGUCAGCACAAAUAAUAAUAGAGUAAUGUGAACUUAUUCCUCAUAUAAUAUGAUGUUGAUUGCAAAAGUGUUUCAAUAAUCUGGAAAAAGGAAAAAAAAAAAAACCUCAGCACUUUUUGCUCAUCAUAGCCCGAAGUCCUUCUUGUUUAACAUUAUGAUUUUCUGAGGAAGAAUUUGUUCACUUGAUGUUGUUCAUUGGACAAUGGUUCUGUAACCUCUAAACCUAUUGGAUAAUGUAAAGAGAAAUUCAUAAUAUUUUAGUUGUCUUCUUAAAUAAUAAAUUGUCUUAAAAUACAAUUAAUUUGUCUUAAAUUUAAUCUAUUUCUCAGUAUUUAAAGAAAAACAAAAAGAAAAAAAGAAAAAGAAAAACGAACUGGUCUUCAUAUAUAAUUUUGUCCAAGUACUUUGGUCAACAAAUCAUUAGGAAGGUGGUGUAUUAGUAAUGCAAAUAUUUAAUUAUCAUGUUUCAACAUAACAAUUCUGUGUAAAUUGUUCACUUUAGGUUUCUAGAGAACUGUUUAUAUUAUUAUUACUACUCAAAUUCAAUGCUUCCAAGUAUUUGAAUUUAAUUAGCUAAUCCUGUAUCAAGAAUUAAUGAACAUAAGAUAAAUGUCAUAUUAGUUAGAUUUAGAUUUUUUUUUUCCAGUUUUGAUGUAUAGAUAUAAAUAAUACUUCAAAAGCAUUGAAAUGUAAGAGCUAUUAAAAAAACGUUUUUCAUUCAAAGCUAUAAGUAAUGAAAUGAAGAUAGAUAUCAUUGUUGAUUUAAAAAAUAAAUAAAUUCAGAAAAAAAAGAAAGAGUGAAAGAAAUGAGCAGGUUAUGUUAGAAAAUAGUGAUAGAGUAUGUUAAGGACUAAAAUUUAUUAAAGAAAGCAGUGGUUCUAUUUGAAAUUUGAUCAAGUUAGAAUUAGUCAAUUAUGCAUCGAGAAUUGAUUCCUGCCAAUGAGAAGUUAACACGUAGCAUGAACUGCAAUUAUUUUUGUUAAAGUUUUGUACAUGGGGCCAUAUCAAAAUGCAAAUCUAAUUAAUAGCAAAAGAAUUGAUUCAUUGAACAUAACAAUGAUAAUACUUAUAAUCGAGGCUUGUAACCUAUAACGUUAGACUAGGAUGCCGUCUUUUGCACGAGAGAUCAAUUUAGGUGAGAGUGUCACCGUCAGUUGACAUUCUGACAAAACAUUUUUAAAUUUUUUAUAAGGACAAAAAAGAUGGUAGAAUAAGUAUGUAAUGUAAUAAUAAUAAAAUGGUAUGAGAAGACAAUACUUGACUUAAUCGGUAGACUUGUGAACCGAAAGGUACUCAAUAAAAAUAUCAGUGGGUAGAUCCAUUUUUUCUUUUCCAUGCCUUGUAUGACAUUUUUAUUUUAUUCUCAUAGAAGCCUUUAAACCAAUUAUCAGAUAAGUCAAGGCACUGCAAUUCUUCGAAAGAGUGAAACAAUGACAUAUUCAGAAGAGAAACUUCAUAAGAAUAAAAGAGUUAUAAUCAGAGUAGUUGAUUUUUGUUUUCUGAUUGAGUGAGAGUUGCGUCACCCGUCGGGUGGUGGCGUUGCACUUAACUCUCUCCCAAUCGUUACAACAAUCAGACGACAUUCCAUCAUCAUCAAAUCAUGAAGAAAGAACUUCGUCAUCAUAUCCAACAUCACUGGCUGAUGCGAAGAAGCUCUUGAUUUCCAAGAGAGCAAUCCUCUCUGUUUCCAAGCAUGCUUUGUAUCCAUGUAACUGAAUCAAAGCUAUGCCAAUCCACAAUGACAACUUCAUCAAAAGCAUUUUCAUUAUUAAUAUUAACUGCGAGAGAAACACUCACAAGAUUUACCUGUCAAUUGUUGCUCUCUUGAAUUUUUUCUGGUUCUCUAGCAAAUAUAUGACUUAUAUAUACAAUGGCAGUUUUGUGCAGAAUGAAAAUUUUGCGCAUUUUCACGUGCCCUGUCAAUGAGAAAACAUGCAUGGAUUGAAAAAAGCAAGUGAGAGAAUAUUACCUGUUGAUACAUGUUAUCUGCUUGUGACUCUAGUACCGUCCAACGAAAUUGAAAUGUGAAAUAAUUGAAGAUGCAAAUUGGUUGAUUUCACAGGCCUGGCCUCUGGCAAAGUGAAAUGUUAGCCACACACUUUACCAGUCAAGUGUCAACAUUUGUAGCAUAAGGAAAUUGCGGCAUCUCAGCUGGAUUUUGAGGGUCGCUAUUUCGUAUAUCAGUCCCAUUAUUUGUUAGUGGGGACUCACACUCUGUCCUAUAGUGGGCUCACAAAUAUUUAACAUAAUUUUGAUAAUUACUUAAACCUCGUUUCCUUGAUAAUUAAAGAAAAAGAGAAGUGAAUGAAGUAAAAGAUACUGAUGACCGUAAUUAUGCAAAUAAAUACAAGACUUUACAGUAGAUUAGACCACCAAUUGUGCUUUUUCGUCCAAUAAUAAUACAUCUGCUUUAACAAGGUACGAGUGAACUCAGGCUUAUCUUUCUUUCGCAAUGUAAAUUCUUGCCAAAAAAUACAUGUUAUCUACUGGUGAAUUAGUUUGAUAAAAUAAAGGCUUAAAGUUUAGUUGAGUAAAAUGUUGACGUAAAGAAAUUAGCUACUGGAAAAUCACCAAAUGCUUGUUAAGGUAAUAUACAAUUGCAAUUGAACAUCAAGUGAUGGAAACAUCAAAAACCCCAUAAAAAAUUAAACAAAACCAGUUGCAAUGCGAAUAAACAAGUUUUCAGUUGAGAUGGCAGAACUAAUUCCUUCACAAUCAAGUGUGAUUUCUCAAUUUGUUCUAUUUGCCCAAAAAGACAUGGUCAAGUAUUUGAAAGCAUUUUUAUUUAGUUGACUAUUCGAGUUUGAAUUUAGAAUAAGAGGUUAAAAAAUAAGUUUUGUCUUUACUCACCCCUUUUACCUUUAGAAAAAAAAUUUAAUUUUUGAUCAAGCUCACUUAAAUGCGUCAUGUGCAAAUCACGUGACAUCCUGAGUUACCAUGUAAUUGGGCUUUAUAAGUGUUUUCUGUUUCUGAAAACGAAAAAUAAUAAAAUGGAAAUGCCUUUAGCUUUUGGCUAGACAUUUUCAGAUACGUUUUUCGUGAUUAUUUCAAACUUCCAACAUACCACAAAUUAUUUUUAGAGCCCGCAUGUUGGAUUGUCUCAUUUAAGUUUCGCUUGGAUUUUUAGCACAUCAUUCAAAUAAGUUGCUAUCGUAUAUCUAGCUAGUUUUGAACAAAGUCAGUGAGAAUAUUACAUCUGCUUUAGCAAGAAAUGAGUGAAUUAAAACAUUUGACCAGAUUCAAGAGAGAAAAGAAUGUUGAAAUAUUGACUUGAAUAUUAUGGUAAAAUGAGUUUGACUUUAGUACCGACCAAAGAAAUAACUGAAGAUGCAAAUUAAUUGGUUAGUUUGAGGUGCAUGGCUAUUGGCAAAGUGAAAUGUUAGCUUCACACUUCACUUGUGAACGUACAACAACAUUUGCUGCAUAACGAAAUUGCAGCGUCUCAGCCGGAUUAUGAGAGUUGUUUUCAAAUCCCAUUUCUUUUCUUUGUAACCUUUUUUUUUUUUUUCCGCAGCUCACGUGAUCACCAUAAUUUUGAUAACUACUCAAACGCGUUUCCGCAAUAACUAACGAAAGGAAAAACGAAUGAAUAAGCAAGAGAUACUGAUGACAGUAAUCAUGUAAAUGAAUACAAGGCUUUACAAUAGAUUAGACCGCCAAUUUGUGCCUUUUGAAUGCAUCUGCUUCAACAAGAUACCAGUGAAUUGAGGCAUAUCUUUCUUUCACAUGUAAUCUGCUGGUGAAAUAAUUUUUAUAAAACAUAGGCUUAAAGUUAAAGCUGAUUAAAAUAUUGGCGUACGUCAAGAACGCUACAUGGAAAAUUCAACCGUGAGCUGCAGUCUGCAGUCCCCAACAAUCCGGGAAAAGGUUGAGGAGGCGCGCGCCUGCACAUUAAUUUGGCAGGUCUGAUGGGAUUUAUAAAUUAAAAUAAUGUAAUUUUAUAUAUUUUUUAAAUGAAAAAUUUGUUGAUGCCGCUGUGCGAUCCAUUGGAUCCUCGCGUGCUGGCCCCACAAGAGUUUCUCCCUAACAAUCUCCAUAAAAGCUCUUUAUAAUCCAUUUUUGAUAAAAGGAUACAUAUAUUUAUUCAAAUAUUAGUAAAAAUAUAUAUAAUGCUGAUUUUUAAAUUUUACUUAAUGAACAUUUAGACCGAGCUGUAAAUCUAAGAAUUCAAACUUCCACAACACCAGGGGCGGAUGCAGUGUAGGACCAGUGGGGGUUCAAGCCCCCACUGAAAAAAAAAACCCCUUUUUGUUUAAAAGAAAAAUUAAUAAAUUUUUAAAUAAUCCCGGUCAAAUUAUCAAAUAGCCCCGUUCUUCGAGUUUUUACAACCACAGUAGAGAGAACAUUUUCAGCAAUGAAAUUUGUGAAGAAUGAACUUCAGAAUCGAAUGAGAGAUGAAUGGAUGAAUGAUAAUUUGAUUGUUUAUGUAGAAAAAGAUGUAUUUAAUAGUGUUGAUAAUGAGUUUAUUGCACAACGUUUUUAGAAUAUGAAAUCGCGUAGAGAACAAUUGUAAAUGUAUUAUAAUUUUUUUUAUAUAUUUAAGUUUUAAUUUUUAUAUUUUGCUGUUAUUUAAUUUAGUCACCGGUAAAUUAUUUUUCUAGAUCCGCCAUUGCACAACACCACCAAUUAGUUUUAGCCUGCAUGUUGUAUUGUCUCCUUUAAGGCCGUGUUUAGUAAACCGGAAUGAGAAUUGAAAUGGAGAAAUCGGAAUGAAUAACUUGUUUACUUAUGUAAAAGAAGAAGAAAGAAGAGAAAGGUUUCAAUUGUUAAUCCUUAUUAUUCACUUCUUUCAUUGGAAAGUGAAAGUGCUUUUGCUUUCUAGCUUCCUUAUGUUCAUUGAUUUUUUGUUGUGCAGUAGUGCCCAGUGUUCUUGAUAUCACAAUCAUCACCCCAUAUGAAUCACAAGUUGUUCUCAAGGUAUACAUUUAUACUUAUCAUUAAUACUUUCUUGUUUUGCCCUCACCAGCUAUGAUUAGCAUAUUAUUUUGUAAAACUUUAUAAAUAUAAAUGAAUUAUUAAUUAAUUAUCCUCUUUUUUUUUUUUUGUUUGAUUGAAAUUUGCUCAAAGGGCAUCUCCACUGACAAGAUACUUGAUGUGAAAAAAUUGUUGGCUUCCAAUGUAGAAACUUGCCACCUCACAAAUUAUUCUCUCUCUCACGAGGUAUAUAUAUUUUAUUAUCUCUCCCCCUUUUUUUUAUUGUAUAUGAUUAUGAAUAAUGAUAUUAAACACUAGAUACUUUUUUUUUUCCCACCUUAUUUUUAUCUGUUUAUUUCUUUAUGAUAUUAAUGCAUUAUUAAUUUAUUUUUUUUUUGAUCAGGUAAGGGGGCAGAGACUGAAUGAUAGAGUAGAGGUUGUUACUUUGAAGCCAUGUUUGCUCAGAAUGGUUGAAGGUAGGUGAAGCUCUCUCGUGUCAAAUUUUCUGAAUUAAAAAAAUCUCAUGCAUGUGGAUGUGGGUCUCAUUUUAUUUGUUAUUUUAAUUAUUAACAUUUAGAUCUUUUUAGUUGUGCAUUCAUUGACAUACUAUUUGAGUAAACUAUAUUCAUUUUAUUGUAUGUUUUUUAAGAAUUUUUUAAUUCGAAAUAAUUUUUUUAAUAUUGUUGAAAAAGACAGGUUAAAGUAAAAAAAAAUUAUUGACUAAAUAAAUAAAUGACAUUAUUUUAUUUUUUAACAUUAAAAAAAAAAAACCAAUUUGAUGCAGUCCAUUUAGUCCUGCACACUUGGAACGUUACCAUGCUUUUUAGUGCUGUACAUUUUGGACUCAGCUGUCCUUAUCAUUUCAAGUAAAAGUUGAAGCUGUCUCAAAAGUACAAUAAUAACGUGCAUUUAAGUAACUGGCUUAAACUUCAGAAAUUUCAAAAGUUACAAUAUACGCAGCUCAUAUCUAGGACCAUUAUUAUUUAUUAGUUUAAUCAUUAAAUGACAAAAUUUUGCCAAUCUUGAGGGGGCUACUUAAAAAUGCAAGCAUCUCGUCCCUUGCCUGCUUCAUAGAUGCUCUUACUCACCCCCCCGUCAUCUCACUUGUGCAAACCAAAGAAAAAAGAAAGAUUAUUAUUUUCCUUUUAUUGCGGAAAAAAACAAUACUUGCUUUUUACUGCUCCAUGUUUAUUAUUUUAUUCUAUUUUUCCAGAAUCUCUCUUUAUCAAUUAAAUUUAUGAUAUAGAUAUUGAAGAUUUGCUUAAAUCAGAAAAUUUGUUCAUAUUUCUGGUCAAUAUAAUACAUCCCUUGAAAGGUAAAAAUAGGAAAAAAAAACCAGAAUGAUGAUUUUUUUUGUUUUGUUUUUGGUUUUGACUGUUUUAGGCAAUAAAGAAAUAUUUUGAAAGGGUCGGAGAUUACAAUGAAUCUAUACACUUGUGGAAAUUUUUUUUAAGGCAUAAAAAAGUGCAACUUGAGAGCAUUUUGUUUUUUGUUCCACUAUAUAUUUUUAUACAACUGCCGCCUUAGAUUGGGUGCAUCACUUCAUUAUAUAAUCAGUAAAAAUUAAUUAUAUAAAUGGAAUCAUUCUCUAUUACAAUUAUUCGACUUCCUGAAGUAACAACUGAUGUUUUUUACCACAUUGUCAAAAGAGUUCAACUUUUAUUUGAGAAUACACCAUAUAAAAGAAAAAGAAAAAAAUAAAAGAAGAGUACACAGAAAAAAAUAAAACAAGUUUUAGAAUUAGUAGAUUAGAAUUGUUAUAAGAAAGAGUUGUCCCUAUAACUUCAAUAAGCUAGCCAUGUUUCUGAAGUUUGUUUUACUACCCUUACCAAACUUUUUCUAGUUGAUAUUUAAUUUUUUUUUUUCUAGUCAAGCAUACUUAAUUGAACAGUCAAUUCAACAUGAAAACGAUUUGUCGCUUUACGAUCCUAAUUUUCAACCAGCCGUAAAUUUUAAUCUAUUAAAAAAAAUUAGUUGGUGGAAAUGUAAACAGAAGCAAGAAGGUUAGAAUUAAUAACUUUAUCAUGAAUAAUUAAUAUAAUUAGAAUUUAAUAAAACUAUAUGUAAAAGCUUAUUUCAAGAGCGAAAAUUUUAUUUUUUAUCAUUUUUUAGUGCUUAUAAUUAUAAUUUAAUCUAGAAGUAUUUUAAUUAUAAAAAAUAUUUUUAAAAAUAAGUUUGACGAAUAGUUUAGUGCUUAUAAUUAUUUUCUACUUAUAAUUAAGUUAAUAUUUAAUAGAAAGAACUAAAAUAAUAAAAGAAAAAACCUUUGCCCGGCAAUUCCUUGUUAUUUACAUUUUUGGCACUGUCCUUGACAGAGGACUACACCGAGGAAUCUCAGGCCGCGGCACACGUGCGGCGGCUUCUCGACAUCGUCGCGUGCACCACACGGUUCUCCAAGUCCAGAAGCUCCCGAUUGCCGCCAUCGUCAGAGUCAUGUGCCAGAAAGAACGGCAGUAGGCCCCACCAGUACUUCACACUGAUUUCUUUGAUCAGAAAUUUUGCCAACUCAAUUAAUUUGCACCCACAAUUCUUCUAAAUUAUUUAAUAAUAAAAAGUUAUUAAAAAAGGUUGGUAAAUGUAAUCAUUUUAAAUAUUAAUCGAUAAAAAAAAGACUAAAUUAGAUUUUUGGUUCAAUGCAAAAUCAACAUCACGAACAGAUAAAAGAUUUAUUCAGUCGUACAUGUCCAAUUUUCUGAAUUAAAAAAAUCUCGUGCAUGUGGAUGUGGGUCUCAUUUUAUUUGUCAUUUUUAAUUAUUAACAUUUAGAUCUUUUUAUUUGUUUCAGUAAACUAAAUUCAUUUUAUUGUAUGUUUUUUAAGAAUUUUUUAAUUCGAUAUUUUUUUAAUAUUGUUGAAAAAGACAGGUUAAAGUAAAAAAAAAUUAUUGACUAAAUAAAUAAAUAAAUGACAGUAUUUUAUUUUUUAACAUUAAAAAAAAAACCAAUUUGAUGCAGUCCACUUAGUCCUGCACACUUGGAACGUUACCAUGCUUUUUAGAGCUGUACAUUUUGGACUCAGCUGUCCUUGUCAUUUCAAGUAAAAGUGGAAGCUGUCUCAAAAGUACAAUAAGAACGUGCAUUUAAGUAACUGGCCUAAACUUCAGAAAUUUCAAAAGUUACAGUAUACGCAGCUCAUAUCUACGACCAUUAUUAGUUUAAUCAUUAAAUGACAAAAUUUUGCCAAUCUUGAUGGGGGUACUUAAAAAUGCAAGCAUCUCGUCCCUUGCCUGCUUCGUAGAUGCUCUUACUCACCCCCUCCUCAUCUCACUUGUGCAAACCAAAGAAAAAAGAAAGAUUAUUAUUUUCCAUUCAUUACACAAAAAACAAUAAUUCCUUUUUAUUGCUCCAUGUUUAUUAUUUUAUUCUAUUUCUCCAGAAUCUCUCUUUAUCAAUUAAAUUUAUGAUAUAGAUAUUGAAGAUUUGCUUAAAUCAGAAAACUUGUUCGUAUUUCUGGUCAAUAUAAUACAUCCCUUAAAAGGUAAAAAUAGGAAAAAAAAACAAGAAUGAUGAUUUUUUUUUUGGUUUUGACUGUUUUAGGUAAUAAAGAAAUAUUUUGAAUGGGUCGGAGAUUACAAUGAAUCUAUACACUUGUGGAAAUAUUUUUAAGGCAUAAAUAAGUGCAACUUGAGAGCAUUUUGUUUUUUGUUCCACUAUAUAUUUUUACACAACUGCCGCCUUAGAUUGGUGCAUCGCUUCAUUAUAUAAUCCGUAAAAAGUAAAUAUAUAAAUGGAAUCAUUCGCUAUUACAAUUAUUCGACUUCAUGAAGUAACAACUGAUGUUUUUUACCACAUUGUCAAAAGAGUUCAACUUUUAUUUUAUAAAGCAUAUAUAAAUAUAUUUUAAAAAUAACUAAUACGAGAAUACAUUAUAUACAAGAAAAAAUAAAAAUAAAACAAGUUUUAGAAUUAGCAGAUUAGAAGUGUUAUAAGCAAGAGCUAUCUCUAACUUCAAUAAGCCAGGCAUGUUUUUGAAGUUUGUUUUACUAGCCUUACCAAACUUUUUCUAGUUGACAUUCAAAGUUAUUUUGAUUUUUUUUUUUAGUCAAGUAUACCUAAUUGAACAGUCAAAUCAACAUGAAAACGACUUGUCGCUUUAGGGUCCUAAUUUUCAACCAACCGUAAAUUUUAAUCUAUUAUAAAAAAUUAGUUGGUAGACAAGUAAACAGGGCAAGAAGGUUUAUAGAAGUGUAUUAUUUUAGAAUUAGUAACUUUAUCAUGAAUAAUUAGUAUGAUUAGAGUUUAAUAAAAUUAUAUGUAAAAGCUUAUUUAAAGAGCAAAAAUUUUAUUUUUUUUAAUCAUUUUUUAGUUCUUAUUAUUAUAAUUUAAUCCAGAUGUAUUUUAAUUAUAAAAAAUUAUUUUGAAAAAUAAGUUUGAGGAAUAGUUUAGUGCUUAAUAAUUAUUUUCUACUUAUAAUUAAGUUAAUAUUUAAUAGAAAGAACUAAAAUAAUAAAAGAAAAAAACCUUUGCCCGGCAAUUCCUUGUUAUUUACAUUUUUGGCACUGUCCCUUGCAGAGGACUACACCGAGGAAUCUCAGGCCGUGGCACACGUGCGGCGGCUUCUCGACAUCGUCGCGUGCACCACACGGUUCUCCAAGUCCAGAAACUCUCGAUUGCCGCCAUCGUCAGAGUCAUGUGCCAAAAAGAACGGCAGUAGGCCCCACCCGCCUUCACCAAACUCUGCCGCUCUGUCUGAUGUAGCAGCAACAGCAGCAGCAGAUAACCGAAGCGGGCCCCGCGCCACGUUUUCGCUAGUUUCAUCGGCGGUUUCUCCGAGUCUGGACAUGGCGGCCAUUCACCCGACGCCGAAACACUCCGAGUUUUAUGACUUCUUCUCUUUCUCUCACCUCACUCCCCCCAUCUUAAGUAAGCCUAAUGUUCAUUUAUUUGUUUGUCUUCGUUUUUUACAUGGUUGAUAAAAAAAAAAAAAAGAGGAAAAUGAUAUAAAUAUAUGUGAUUUAUUUGAAUAUGAAAUUUGUUUAUUGAUUUUGAUUUUUAAUAAUUUUGAUUUUGAAGAUUUGAGAAAAUGUGAACGCAAAGAAGGAGAGAAGCGCGACGGUGAUUAUUUUGAAAUUCAGGUGCCAUUUAAUAUAAAGUUCUGAUUAUUGUUGUUUGUUGUUUAUGGACUAAUUAAUUGUAGGGUUAUUCAACUCGUUAUUUUUGCUGAUGAAUUGGCCAAUGAGUGUUAAAGACUUAAUAAUCAUUGUCUGCUAAUUAAUAAGAAUGCAUGGAUUAUUUUCAUGUCUUUGUAAGUAAUGUGAGUAUUUGAAAGCGCGGAAACUAUUUUGUGCUUACAGAUAAAAAUCUGCAAUGGAAAGCUUAUACAAGUCGUUGCAUCAGUAAAAGGUUUCUAUACUUUGGGAAAGCAGUUUUUCCAAAGCAACUCCCUGGUGGUUCUUCUGCAAAAUCUCAGUCGAGCUUUUGCCAAUGUGGGUACUCGAUAGUCAAAUCUACAAAUUAUUUUUUUCUUUUUUAUCUGAAUGCAUCUUUUUUUCCUCUGUAAAUUCAAUUAGCUUACCCUUUAAUUGUUUUGUUAAUAAUUAUGGUCAUUAUGCAUGAUGCAGGCAUAUGAAUCCCUAAUGAAAGCUUUUGUUGAACAUAAUAAGGUAACAAUUUCUGUGCUGACAUAGUUUAUUACCAAUUCAAAUGUGAUUUUAACUUGAUUUUACUGAUAUAGUAUAUUCAUUAUCCUUCUUCAGUUUGGUAAUCUUCCCUAUGGAUUUCGAGCUAAUACAUGGCUUGUACCUCCAUCUGUUGCUGAGUCUCCAUCAAAUUUCCCAUGCCUACCAGUAGAAGAUGAGAAUUGGGGUGGCAAUGGCGGAGGCCAGGGAAGAGAUGGAGAACAUGAUUUACGACCAUGGGCUACGGAAUUUGCUAUACUGGCUAGGCUUCCUUGCAAAACUGAAGAGGAGAGGGUGGUUAGAGAUCGGAAGGCCUUUUUGCUUCAUAACCAAUUUGUUGAUGUCUCAAUUUUUAAAGCUGUUGGAGCAAUACGCCGUCUCAUUGAUUCAAAUUUACACACUCAAGAUACAAUCAAUGUCCAAAAGGGGGCAAUCUUGCAUGAAGAUCGUGUGGGAGAUUUGUCCAUUACAGUAAAACAUGAUACAGUAGAUGCAAGCUUGAUGUCUGAGGUUACUAUUAAAGGAAAUCAGUCAUCUGGUAUGUCUGCUACAGAAGUUGCUCAAAGGAAUUUACUAAAAGGUGUUACUGCAGAUGAGAGUGUAGUUGUUCACGUAAGUCGAUUUCUCCUUUACUUCUUGCGCUUAUGUUCACAGAACACACACAUAAAAGACAUUCAUCAAAGCUGAAAUUGCUUACGUGGGCGGAAUAAUAUAGCUCUACCUUUGUCAGGGAGUGAUUUUUCAGUCGGAUUAAGAUGUUUCACUCUUUAUCUGAUAUCUGGCAUUUGAUGAUGGCCUAAAAUACCCAUCCUCUUCACUCUCUCUUUCUACACAUUUAUGAAUGCACAAGAAAGUCAAUUUUAGGUUCUUUCCUAAGAAUCACUACUCGUUACUAACCUUAUAUAUCUGGUUUAGCUUCAUGAAUCUUAUGUUGCCAUUCUGUUUGGUGACUCCCUAUUCUGUUGAAAUCACUGGAUAGCAGGUCUUUCCACUGAUUUUAUCCAUAUCCCUCCGAUUUUCUGCUUGUGGUUUGCUCCAACUUAAUGUCAUCAACCCUUUUUGGGGAAGCCUAUUAACCUUGGUUGGGCAUGCUUGUAUUAUAUCAACUAGUGAUACAAUUGCUAAAGUUUUCAGCAUGGUAGAUCUUGAAAUAAAAUUUUCUUGAAAUAUCUAGAUUUAUUUUUCUCAAAAUAUCUAGAUUUAUCUUCCUUUUCUUUUUCCCUUUCUUUUAUUUUAGUUUCAAAGAUUUUGUGAUAAAGAGAACUAAAACAAUAUUGUUUUUGGCAGGAUACCUCCUCAUUGGGUACUGUCAUUGUAAGACACUGUGGAUACACGGCUGUAGUAAAGGUUGUUGGUGAUGUGAAGGAGAAGUUUGGCACACAAGAUAUUGAAAUUGAAGAUCAACCUGAUGGAGGAGCUAAUUCUCUUAAUAUUAACAGGUCUGAAAUUGUAACACAAUGCUUCCUCUGUCGAUUCCUCUUAGCACACAAAGACUAUGAAAUCUAUAGAUGGAGAAUGGCUGUAAGAUAUGAAAAAUUAUCUUUCAACCACUAACAGUUUUAAGCUAUUCUGCAAGAUAUCUUAGAAAUGCUAACUGGUAUGAGCUUCUUUGCUUAGUGUGUAUCACAGUUGAAUUCAUGACGCAGAGCAUUGUUAUUCUCCUUAUUUUUACCAGAUAGAACAGGAUUGAAAUGCUGGUGUUGGGGAUUCUUAAGAAAGGAUAGCACCUGCUCCUUUUUCUUCCUGUUUAGAUGGGAUCUAAUCAGUAGAUGUCUGAACUCUUAAGGGGAGUUGAUGUCAGAUUUCUAAACCAGGUUUUCUUCAAGUGUUAAGUUUAUGAAUAGGCCAAAGAAAAGAAAGCUGAUAUCUAGUUAGGGAUAUAUACUCCUCUUUCAGCAUCCUGUGGACCAGAAAAUGGCUUUUCCUCUAUUAAAAUAUGUGUGAGAUCCUUCACUGUAUGGGGAUGCUUCACCUCUGCAUAGUUGUAGACCACCUAAAUAAUAACGAGUGGUUGCAGGAAGUCAUGGCUUUCACAAUAAUGGUUGAGUGUUUAUAGUUAUGUGCUCUCAUAUUGGUUUGUAAUUGUUAUAUUAACAAAAUAACCAACAGACAUCGUUGAUGAUGUUCAAAUAAAGGAUAAAGGAAAGUAUAAUUACGGUGGAUGCUCAGUUGCUGCAAUAGGUCAUCAGCUUUUUAGAUUGUGCUAUUUCAGAAAGUAUUUAGGCCUUCUUUGGUGGAUUCUGCCUUUGUUUCAUAUACUCUUAUGUCUUUCUCCGUUUAAGUUGUUCUGACAGGGUAAACUAUUUAUUGCAGCUUAAGGCUUGUACUUCAGAAGUCUUUCAGUGCUGAAUCAGCUAGAGGAGACCAGUUACCUCUGUGCAAUUUGGAUAAUUCGGAAGCUUUUAGAAAUCUUGUAAGAAGAGUUAUUAAACAGAGUUUAGCAAAGUUAGAGCUGGAGCCAACUGCUUCAGAAAGAUCUAUUAGAUGGGAACUUGGUUCUUGUUGGGUGCAGCAUCUACAAAAGCAGGAAACUCCAACAGAUACCAAGUCAACAAGGUCUGGGGAUGAUAUUAAGACUGAACAUGCUGUCAAAGGUCUUGGGAAGCAAUUUAAAUUUUUGAAGAAGAGGGAGAACAGACCUAACCUUGUUGGUAGCAUUAAUGAGGCUAACGAAAAUGACAAUGGACCGUGCAACAUGAAUGUGGGAGGUAAUGGUAGACAGCAAAGCAUUGGCGAGCUGAAUUGUGAGAUGGAAUUGAAAAAACUAAUUUCUGAAGAAUCCUUCUUGCGAUUGAAAGAAACUGGCACUGGCCUUCAUUCAAAGGUUUUAGAAUCUCAAAUUUGUUUUGCAUUUCAACUGUAAAGUUUGCUACUUUUUGUGUUUUCAUUACGCUAAAUUUGGUUUGUUUUAUUUUCAUAUGGAAUGGCUGGUAAAAUUAAUUUCUUGUGCAGGCAGUGGAUGAGCUUAUGAAAAUGGCAUACAAGUAUUAUGAUGACAUUGCUUUACCAAAGCUGGUACUAUUUAAUUUAUUUAGGGCCUUUGUUGCAGCCAAUUUAGACGUGUGGGGAUGGUUUAUGGACUGAUUUCCAUUCUUUAUUAGGUAACAGACUUUGGAUCACUUGAACUUUCUCCGGUUGAUGGCCGCACACUGACAGACUUUAUGCAUUUAAGGGGACUACAAAUGCGCUCUUUAGGUUGCGUGGUGAGGAAUUUCUCCCUCUCUUUCUCUCUCAGACAUGCAACCUCUUCACCCGUGGAAAUCGGAAUAAACAAAUGUUGUCUUUCUUUAUGUAAUCAAAGCCCCUAAGUUAUCUUUCUAUAUGUAAACAAUCUCCCCAAGUCUUCCUGGAUUGAAUUAUCAAUGUUCCUUUUUGAAAAUGGUACUACAUGAUAGAAUUUUUGACAUGGUUGACCUUUUCCAAGAUAUUGAAUUAUUGUCGUCUUUAGGUAUUACUGUAUGUUGUAUGACAUACAAUAUUUUGAGAAAUUGACAUGCUAAUACUUGAAAGCCUGGUAUUCUUCUUCUGUUGGUUCUAAUCCCAUUUACAAAUUCAGGUUGAACUUGCAGAGAAGCUUCCUCACAUACAAUCACUUUGUAUUCAUGAGAUGGUUACUCGAGCGUUCAAGCAUGUACUUAAAGGAGUCAUCGCAUCCGUUGACUAUUUAUCAGACCUAUCUGCAGCUAUAGCUUCUUCCCUAAAUUUCUUAUUUGGCUGUUGUGAGAUGGAAGAUGACCAAAGCUUGAAUGAAGAUCAUAUCCUUAGAUUGCAGUGGCUACGAACAUUUCUUGGCAGAAGAUUUGGUUGGUCCC